rnacentral:lncRNA from 1 species
AGGCUGACGUAGCAUGUGUUCAUUUCCCAGAGAUACAAAUGAUGUGGAGUGGAGGGCACAGCACCCCGGGGGAUUCAUUAUUCUGGGUGAUCACUUGGGAGUGACCAGUUGGAAACUACCUUGGCAGUAAGAAAGAAACCAACGUGAUUUGUAUAGAAGGUGACGGCUCUUGGGCUUCUUCUUGCUGAAUGUCAUUAAACAUGGAUGGACUGCACAAUUUGCUGCCUGUUUUCCAGCUUUCUCCCUGACUUCUUACUAAUGGAUUCCUCUCUUCACUCAUUACAGACAUUGCUGCAAUUCUCUUACUGGAGCAUGAACAAGCUCCAUACAACAUUCAGCACAACCACGGGCACUUCCACCACAUUGGAUCUGCUGGGUUUUAAAAGAAUUCUGGAGGAUAAGAAGUCCAAGUUUGAGGGUCAGCAUCUGGCGAGGAUCUUCUUGCAGUGUCAACCCAUGACAGAAACAGAAAGACAGGAAAACGCUGAACUUGCUAUUUUACAGUGGCACAAGUCUCACCCAUGAGGAUACAGCCCUCACAGCCUAAUCACUUCUUAGGGUGCUCACUUAAUACUGCAACAAUGGGAAUUAAAUUUCAGCAUAAGUUUUGAAGUGGACAAACAUUCAAACCAUAACAACCUACUAACUUUGAUACUUCAUCAAAAGGUGAAAGGGGGAAACUAUAUUAGAGAAUGUGAUGGUUAAUAUUGAGUGUCAACUUGACUGGAUUGAAGGAUGCAAGGUAUUGUUCCUGGAUGUGGCCGUUAGGGUGUUGCCAAAGGAGAUUAACAUUUGAGUCAGUGGACUGGGGGAAGCAGACCCACACUCAAUCCGAGUGGGCACAAUCUAAUCAGCAGCUAGUGCAGCUAGGAUAAAAGCAGGUGGAAGAAGGUGGAAACACUGGACUGGACAAGUCUUCCGGACUCCAUCUUUCUCCUGUGCUGGCUGCUUCCUGCCCUUGAACAUCAUACUCCAAGUUCUUCAGCUUUUGAACUUUCGGACCUAUACCAGUGGUUUGCCAGGGGAUCUUGGGCCUCUGGCCACAGACUGAAGGCUGCAUCGUCGGCUUCCCUAUUUUUGAGGUUUUGAAGCUCAGACGGGCUUUGCGCCUUAACUUGCAGACGGCCGAUUGUGGGACUUCACCUUGUGAUCCUGUGAGUCAGUACUCCUUAAUAAACUCCCUGUCAUAUAAAUGUC